rnacentral:rRNA from 1 species
CCUACGGGUGGCAGCAGUGAGGAAUAUUGGUCAAUGGACGAGAGUCUGAACCAGCCAAGUGGCGUGAAGGAUGACUGCCCUAUGGGUUGUAAACUUCUUUUAUAUGGGAAUAAAAUGUUCCACGUGUGGGAUUUUGUAUGUACCAUAUGAAUAAGGAUCGGCUAACUCCGUGCCAGCAGCCGCGGUAAUACGGAGGAUCCGAGCGUUAUCCGGAUUUAUUGGGUUUAAAGGGAGCGUAGGUGGAUUGUUAAGUCAGUUGUGAAAGUUUGCGGCUCAACCGUAAAAUUGCAGUUGAAACUGGCAGUCUUGAGUACAGUAGAGGUGGGCGGAAUUCGUGGUGUAGCGGUGAAAUGCUUGGAUAUCACGAAGAACUCCGAUUGCGAAGGCAGUUCACUGGACUGCAACUGACACUGAGGCUCGAAAGUGUGGGUAUCAAACAGGAUUAGAUACCCCAGUAGUC